AGUGAACGCUGGCGGUAGGCCUAACACAUGCAAGUCGAACGGCAGCACAGUAAGAGCUUGCUCUUACGGGUGGCGAGUGUCGGACGGGUGAGGAAUACAUCGGAAUCUACUUUUUCGUGGGGGAUAACGUAGGGAAACUUACGCUAAUACCGCAUACGACCUACUGGUGAAAGCAGGGGAUCUUCGGACCUUGCGCGAUUGAAUGAGCCGAUGUCGGAUUAGCUAGUUGGCGGGGUAAAGGCCCACCAAGGCGACGAUCCGUAGCUGGUCUGAGAGGAUGAUCAGCCACACUGGAACUGAGACACGGUCCAGACUCCGACGGGAGGCAGCAGUGGGGAAUAUUGGACAAUGGGGGCAAGCCUGAUCCAGCCAUACCGCGUGGGUGAAGAAGGCCUUCGGGUUGUAAAGCCCUUUUGUUGGGAAAGAAAAGCAGCAGGUUAAUACCCCGCUGUUCUGACGGUACCCAAAGAAUAAGCACCGGCUAACUUCGUG
rnacentral:rRNA from 1 species